rnacentral:rRNA from 1 species
AAUAGAUACCCGGGUAGUCCACCCCGUAAACGUUGGGAACUAGUUGUGGGGUCCUUUCCACGGAUUCCGUGACGCAGCUAACGCAUUAAGUUCCCCGCCUGGGGAGUACGGCCGCAAGGCUAAAACUCAAAGGAAUUGACGGGGACCCGCACAAGCGGCGGAGCAUGCGGAUUAAUUCGAUGCAACGCGAAGAACCUUACCAAGGCUUGACAUACACCAGAACACCCUAGAAAUAGGGGACUCUUUGGACACUGGUGAACAGGUGGUGCAUGGUUGUCGUCAGCUCGUGUCGUGAGAUGUUGGGUUAAGUCCCGCAACGAGCGCAACCCUCGUUCUAUGUUGCCAGCACGUAAUGGUGGGAACUCAUGGGAUACUGCCGGGGUCAACUCGGAGGAAGGUGGGGAUGACGUCAAAUCAUCAUGCCCCUUAUGUCUUGGGCUUCACGCAUGCUACAAUGGCCGGUACAAAGGGCUGCAGUACCGUGAGGUGGAGCGAAUCCCAAAAAGCCGGUCCCAGUUCGGAUUGAGGUCUGCAACUCGACCUCA